GGAGCAAGGAGGGUCAUGGUUGUGUGAGGCUGCUUCGGCAGUCUCAGGGCAGCCCGUGGCCCUGGAGCUCCAGGAAAAGCAGCGUCUCCUUGAAGGAUGUUGUGCUAUAGUUCUGCAACUCUGUGAUGCUCCAGAAAGCUGAGAAUCUGAGAUUUACCUGUGCUGAUUCACAUGAUCUGUACUCAGUAUUUAUCAACGAAGACCUGCCAGUUGCCCCUUCAUCUGGAGGAAGCCCAAAGCAGUUAAAAGGAAAUGCUUCUCAGAGCCCUUUGAUAUCAAACAGAACAUUUAAAGGAGAUGUAUUCUGACAAAACUGAUGAAAGAGAAUGGAAUUCUGGGACAGUUAAUUUUUUGUUUUGAGGGCAGAGGUAAGGUUUUGUUCCAGUACAGUCUGACCUCUGUGUAAUGCACCUCUUCCCAGUAACGGUGUGGGGGGCCUUGGUCCAAAGAAGAGUUAGAUCAUGUGUUUGAACCCAUUUGUUUUCAUCACCAUUGUCCAUUUUUCUAGCUAUAAACAUAGAGGUGGUAAGGAGGAAAAGGGAGUUAUGGGGUUAGUUUUGAGAUAAUUUACU